CCCUCCGCCCCCCUAACUCGCGGAGCACACUGGGAUUUGGCGCCCCCCUCCUCUGUUCAGCCUAUAUAAGGCUCCCAGUCGGCGCUCCCGGUACACGCGCUUCAACUUCGGUUGGUGUGUGUCGAAGAAACCUGACUACGACCUGGGGAGAAGAGCGAAGAGGGUCCACCGAGCCUCGCGAAAGGUCCGCUGAGCGGGCUCGCGUCCGGAGCCACUCCGGGCUGCGGAGCACCCAGCGGAACCCACGCGUGGCACAGGUGUGGGACCCCGUCCUCCUGUCUUCGCAGAGGAGUCCUCGCGUGUUGUCACUUGAUCUUCAGGCUGCAGAGGGCCUAGAAGUAGGUCAUCGUCUGCAGCCCCGGCAUGAGCACACGGACAUUCGCUAUCACUGCAAGCAGAAGUCUGGAGAUGUUGGCCAACGACAGCAGCGGUCAGGGAAAGCAUGGUGGUAUGGGUCAGCAACGCAUGGAUGAAGACCCUGACGCACAUUUGGCUGUUUAGUAAAGCUUGUGAAAAACUGGUUGCAGUGUGUUCUAUGCUUUAUUGCUAUAUAUACUAUCUAUAAAUGUAGGUGUUAAGGAUAAGUAAUUUCCAAUUUAUUCUGUAGUAUCAGAAUUUAAUAAGUUUCCUUUCACUGAGUUUAUUUUGUUACUGUUGAUUAUGUGUAUUGGAUACUUUAAGUUUUUUGGGGCAUUUUUCCCACAAAAUGCCUUUAUUCAUAAGAAAGGAAAGAGCAAAGAAAUUAAAUCUCUAAGGGAGUUAGAAAGGGAGCAAAAUAAAGCAUAAAGGACAUACAACAAAACAUCAGAAUUAUUAAAGCCAAUAGUCAACCUUUUUUUGAAACAAAUUGGCAAAUUUGAUAACUUUUGACCCAAAUUGUCGGUGUUAAUUAAAUCAAGGAAGAAGAAGAUAGGAGCUCCCAUUGUUAGGCAAACCUGGAGAGAACUAGUGAAGGUCAUCGUGCUAAGAUCUUGAAAUGGAGGAAGUUUACAUACAUUUCUGAAGGGUCAAUUUAGUUUGAGCAAUGAGGUAUUUGCACUCGAUGCUGGAAAAUGGCGAAUUAGUUUGAUUCAAUCAGGUGAGGUGACAUAAGGAACUUGCAGGUGCAUAAAAUAAAGAGGGGCACAUCUAUAUAGUGCAGUCUGGAUUUGUGUUUAAGUUUGCAAGUACCUCUUGGGCUCCUGAAUUGAUCUGCUUGUCAUCUACCACAGACGUCGAAUGUCAGAUACAGUUCCAAGAUUGGCAACAGAGAACACUCUGCUGGAAAGACCUGGGCAGAAAUGAAGGACCACCUGCCGAGACGAAGAGCUGGGUGGGAACCAUGCUGCAUUUUCAUCGGAAGAAUGAACAUCCAGUGGGACUGAAAGUUCUUUGUUGUUUCAGAUUAUAGAAUGUGAUUGAUGGAAUUGGUCUGUGGAAGUUGCAUUGUUUUUUAUUUCUUUAUGUUAUCAGUUUAAGUAAUAGGGGAUAUACAUAAUCAUAAGUAUUUUAGGGUGGGAGGGACUAUUAAGUAAUCUUAAGUGGGUGGGGUUAGUUUAAAAGUUAGCAUGAUAUUAUGUAUUAGAUAACUCUAUAAGUGGACAUGUGUACUUACUUGUGAUCCUUUACCCUAUGAUUGCUACCCUUAAAGAUUUCAAAUAAACUCAGAGGGAACUGCAGGGAGAUCAGCCUAUUUAGGGCAAAUUGGACAUGGAUAAAACUCUAGUGGGAAAAAGUUCAAAGGUGAUUGGAUAAAUAAUUUAACUUUGCCCUGGGUAUUAACUCCAGGGAUCCAGAUUGUGAGCAAAGCCUUUGGAGAGUUAUAAGAUGAGUAGAUACUCUUUGAGAAAUUCUUGCUGGAAUGAAAUUGAUAAUUAAGGAUGGUAAAUAUUCAUGGAAGUUACAGAAAAGUGAUGAAGAAGAAGCCUGUCAGUGGCCCUCCUACCUACCCCUGCCUUUUCUCCCUACCCCUACCACCUCCCUACCCUUCCCCAUUUUAUUGCUGUAUUUCUACUUACUAAUAUUGUAUUGAUGUUAUAAUAAAAAUUCAAUUAAUAAAGAUUUAGUGGUUAA